rnacentral:rRNA from 1 species
UAGCUAGUUGGUGGGGUAAGGGCCUACCAAGGCGACGAUCGGUAGCUGGUCUGAGAGGAUGACCAGCCACACUGGAACUGAGACACGGUCCAGACUCCUACGGGAGGCAGCAGUGGGGAAUAUUGGACAAUGGGGGCAACCCUGAUCCAGCAAUGCCGCGUGUGUGAAGAAGGCCUGAGGGUUGUAAAGCACUUUCAGUGGGGAGGAGUGUUGAUGGGUUAAGAGCUAAUUAACUGGACGUUACCCACAGAAGAAGCACCGGCUAACUCCGUGCCAGCAGCCGCGGUAAUACGGAGGGUGCGAGCGUUAAUCGGAAUUACUGGGCGUAAAGGGUGCGUAGGUGGUUUGAUAAGUUAACUGUGAAAUUCCUGGGCUCAACCUGGGCGUGUCAGUUAAGACUGUUAGACUUGAGUAUGGGAGAGGGUAGUGGAAUUUCCGGUGUAGCGGUGAAAUGCGCAGAGAUCGGAAGGAACACCAGUGGCGAAGGCGGCUACCUGGCCUAAUACUGACACUGAGGCACGAAAGCGUGGGGAGCAAACAGGAUUAGAUACCCUGGUAGUCCACGCUGUAAACGAUGUCAACUAGCCGUUGGUUAUAUGAAUAUAAUUAGUGGCGC